AUCCGAGGCGCUUGCGUCUCGGUGAGAGUGGCGAACGGCCGUUUAAUGCGUGACUAACCUGCCUCAUACACCGGAAUAGCUCCUGUAAACGGGUGGUAAUGCCGGAUGCUCCAACAUUCCUCAUGGUUUGUUGGGAAAGCGUUAGCGGUAUGGGAUGGGGUCGCGUCCUAUCAGCUUGUUGGUGGGGUGAAGGCCCACCAAGGCUUCGACGGGUAGCCGGCCUGAGAGGGCGACCGGCCACAUUGGGACUGAGAUACGGCCCAGACUCCUACGGGAGGCAGCAGUGGGGAAUAUUGCACAAUGGGCGAAAGCCUGAUGCAGCGACGCCGCGUGCGGGAUGAAGGCCUUCGGGUUGUAAACCGCUUUUGAUUGGGAGCAAGCGAGAGUGAGUGUACCUUUCGAAUAAGCACCGGCUAACUACGUGCCAGCAGCCGCGGUAAUACGUAGGGUGCAAGCGUUAUCCGGAAUUAUUGGGCGUAAAGAGCUCGUAGGCGGCUUGUCGCGUCUGGUGUGAAAGUCCAUCGCUUAACGGUGGAUCUGCGCCGGGUACGGGCAGGCUAGAGUGCGGUAGGGGAGAUUGGAAUUCCCGGUGUAACGGUGGAAUGUGUAGAUAUCGGGAAGAACACCAAUGGCGAAGGCAGAUCUCUGGGCCGUUACUGACGCUGAGGAGCGAAAGCAUGGGGAGCGAACAGGAUUAGAUACCCUGGUAGUCCAUGCCGUAAACGGUGGAUGCUGGAUGUGGGGCCCAUUCCACGGGUUCCGCGUCGGAGCUAACGCGUUAAGCAUCCCGCCUGGGGAGUACGGCCGCAAGGCUAAAACUCAAAGAAAUUGACGGGGGCCCGCACAAGCGGCGGAGCAUGCGGAUUAAUUCGAUGCAACGCGAAGAACCUUACCUGGGCUUGACAUGUUCCUGACGGUCGCGGAGACGCGGCUUCCCUUCGGGGCAGGUUCACAGGUGGUGCAUGGUCGUCGUCAGCUCGUGUCGUGAGAUGUUGGGUUAAGUCCCGCAACGAGCGCAACCCUUGCCUU
rnacentral:rRNA from 1 species